GACGAACGCUGGCGGCGUGCCUAACACAUGCAAGUCAACUUGACUGAAGGAGCAAUCUGACAGUAGAGUGGCGCAAGGGUGCGUAACGCGUAAGUAACUUGCCCCAAGGUAAGGAAUAACGUCGAGAAAUCGGCGCUAAUACCUCAUAAUGCAGCGGAUCCGCAUGGAUAUGUUGUUAAAGGUUUACCGCCUUGGGAUAGGCUUGCGUCUGAUUAGCUAGUUGGUGUGGUAACGGCACACCAAGGCUACGAUCAGUAACUGGUCUGAGAGGAUGAUCAGUCACACUGGAACUGAGACACGGUCCAGACUCCUACGGGAGGCAGCAGUGAGGAAUAUUGGGCAAUGCUCGAAAGAGUGACCCAGCAACGCCGCGUGGAGGAUGAAGGGUAUUCUAUAUCGUAAACUCCUGUGAGAGCAGACGAAGACAGAUUAUUAAUCUGGAUGACUGUAUGCUCAGAGGAAGCCCCGGCUAACU
rnacentral:rRNA from 1 species